rnacentral:rRNA from 1 species
UACGUAGGCAGCGAGCGUUGUUCGGAAUUACUGGGCGUAAAGAGUGUGUAGGCGGUGCUCCCAGUCUGUUGUGAAAUCUCCCGGCUUAACUGGGAGGGUGCAGCGGAAACUAGAGUGCUAGAGGGUGGAGAGGUAAGCGGAAUUCCUGGUGUAGCGGUGAAAUGCGUAGAUAUCAGGAGGAACACCUGUGGUGUAGACAGCUUACUGGACCACUUCUGACGCUGAGACACGAAAGCGUGGGUAGCAAACAGG